rnacentral:rRNA from 1 species
AUGCUUGAGUAUGUAGAUGGUUUGGUAGAGUUUCGUGUUGAGAAAGCCAAAAUGGAUUAUGAAGCAAUUUUGUCAUAUGCACAAGAUACGUAUCAUGUGGAAAGAGAGCAUUGCAGAGGGGAUUGUAGCUACAAACUACAUUGGCUAGUUCCUAUCAAAUCGUUGGAAGAUGGGCCGCUUUGUUUGUGUGAUGAUUCAGCAGUGCGGAAGAUGGAGAGUGGCACAGCUAAUGGUGAUUGUGAUGUCAUUUAUGUGGAGGGAAGUGAUCGGACUUUUCAUGGAACAUUCUUUUUUUUUUGA